rnacentral:rRNA from 1 species
CGUUAGCGGCGGACGGGUGAGUAACACAUGGGUAACCUACCUAUAAGACUGGGAUAACUUCGGGAAACCGGAGCUAAUACCGGAUAAUAUUUCGAACCGCAUGGUUCGAUAGUGAAAGAUGGUUUUGCUAUCACUUAUAGAUGGACCUGCGCCGUAUUAGCUAGUUGGUAAGGUAACGGCUUACCAAGGCGACGAUACGUAGCCGACCUGAGAGGGUGAUCGGCCACACUGGAACUGAGACACGGUCCAGACUCCUACGGGAGGCAGCAGCC